UAGGGAAUCUUCGGCAAUGGGGGCAACCCUGACCGAGCAACGCCGCGUGAAUGAAGAAGGUUUUCGGAUCGUAAAGCUCUGUUGUAAGAGAAGAACGUGUGUGAGAGUGGAAAGUUCACACAGUGACGGUAACUUACCAGAAAGGGACGGCUAACUACGUGCCAG
rnacentral:rRNA from 1 species